rnacentral:rRNA from 1 species
GCAACGAGCGCAACCUUUGUCAUUAAUUGCCAUCAUUCAGUUGGCCACUUUAAUGAGACUGCCGGUGACAAACCGGAGGAAGCUGGGGAUGACGUCAAGUCCUCAUGGCCCUUAUGGCUAGGGCUUCACACGUCAUACAAUGGCUGGUACAGAGGGUUGCCAACCCGCGAGGGGGAGCCAAUCUCAGAAAGCCAGUCGUAGUCCGGAUUGUUCUCUGCAACUCGAGAGCAUGAAGUCGGAAUCGCUAGUAAUCGCGGAUCAGCAUGCCACGGUGAACACGUUCCCGG